AAACAGUCCCACACCACGAUGUUCCUACCUCCAACUUCACUGUGGGUAUGGUGUUUUUGGGGUGAUGUGAAGUGCCAUUUGACCUCCAAACAUGGUGUGUAUU